GGAGGAGGCGCCAGAGGGGCUGCCGCGGCCUGAGGGGGCUGAGCUGGUCUCCCCGCCGGGCAGCUGGCCCAGAAGGAGUGAGAGGCCUCAGGGCUGCCUGGUCACCGCACGCUUCAGAGAGGGUUGAGCAAAAUAAGAGCACCCAGCUGCAAGGCACUACUGAAUGAUGGCAAAGCAGAGUUACUUGCUGCAGACUGGAGGACUGGUUGGUUUCAUACACAAAGGCUCCACAGGGUACAUCCACCUUGUAUAUUAAGCCUGCCCUGCAGGUGUUGCUGCCCAGCUGAGGUUGUGUCUGCUUGGGAGGUCACAGAGUGGUUGGGACUGGAAGGGACCUCUGGAGAUCUCCUGGUCCAACCCCCCUUGCUAGAGCAAGAUCCCCUGGAGCAGGUCACAAAGGAACACAUCCAGGCCCACCUGACCACGUGGAUUGGUCACAACUAAGGAAAACCUAAGGAAAAGCUCUAAAAUUAGAGCAAAGACUUGUCUCCCAGGAGAGGCUGGUGCUUUCAUUAGCUGCAAAAUCCAGGAGGAAGUGUCCCUGGACUAGAAAUCAUGAGACUACCAGCUCUGCUGUGGAUUUGUUGCCUGAGUAGAGAAAGAAGCAAUUACAGUUAAGGGAAUGGUCCAGAGCUUAAUUCUGACUCGGGGGCAUCCUGUGCUUUUCCAUCAAUCAGUGCUGGGACUGCAUCUUUGUGCCCUGAAACAGGAAGGUAUGAAAUAAAGUUAAUAACCUGGAGAGUGGCUCCUUUUUCUCCCACUGCUGCUCAGU